GAUGAACGCUGGCGGCGUGCUUAACACAUGCAAGUCGAACGGUGAAAGAGAGCUUGCUCUCUGGAUCAGUGGCGAACGGGUGAGUAACACGUGAGCAAUCUGCGCCUGACUCUGGGAUAAGCGCUGGAAACGGCGUCUAAUACCGGAUACGAGCUGCGAAGGCAUCUUCAGCAGCUGGAAAGAACUUCGGUCAGGGAUGA
rnacentral:rRNA from 1 species